rnacentral:misc_RNA from 1 species
UACGGAGGGUGCAAGCGUUAAUCGGAAUUACUGGGGGUAAAGCGCGCGUAGGCGGCGUGACAAGCCGGUUGUGAAAGCCCCGGGCUCAACCUGGGAACGGCAUCCGGAACUGUCAGGCUAGAGUGCAGAAGAGGAGAGUGGAAUUCCAUGUGUAGCGGUGAAAUGCGUAGAGAUCGGGAGGAAUACCAGUGGCGAAGGCGGCCUUCUGGACUGACACUGACGCUGAGGUGCGAAAGCGUGGGUAGCAAACAGG